CUCACCCUCGCCAUCACCUCCUGCUAUUCCUCUCCAACUCCACCACCCGCGCGCCGAGGCCCCGAACCCAAGUCGACUUCGUAGCUCGCCGCGGCACCGCCCCCGCUCAGACUCGCAGCGACCUCUCUUGCAGGAGAUUCAAGCGGGUCUUACGUUUUCUUGGAUUGCAAUGCAGAAGAUCCAAGCAGUAAUUUUUUGUCCUUUUUUGAUUCUUCAGUUCAAAAUUGGAUAUUGAUGGGUUUUAAUGUUGACACCUAAGUUUAAUUAUCUUUCCUAAUAUGAAGAUCAAAAUAAGGGGGGUUUUCUGAUGAGAUAUUAUCUGAUGCAAAAAAUAAAAUCAGACAAAGAUUUGGAGAAAAACUUUUCAAGAAAAAAGGACGCCAGAGAAGUGACUUUAAAAAAAAGUUACCAACGGAUGGUUUUCGUGCAAUUGUAAGAUGGGGACAUAAUGGGGUUCCAACCGGGCAAUGGGCUAAUAACUUUAGCUCAUAUCUUGGAUGCUUGAUAAGGAGGAGUGGUAAUGUGAAUCCUUAUUAUGAGGCUGAGGAGCAGCCCUUUCAUGUCCUAGAGAGUAUAUAUCGAGAUUGUUGGAGAUAUUUCAACAUCGAAGACAAUCCCGUAGGGUGGGAAUUUUUAUUUGGAUACAUGAGAAAGUUCAAGCAUUCUCUUCGGGAGUGGAGACAUGAGAUAAAGAAGAAAUGCUAUGAUUGUUUCAGUCACAACUGGGAGAGGAUAUACAAGUGAGAUAAGAGGGUUGAGCCUGAGCAUUUAGCUGCACUUAUAGUAUUGUGGGGCCAAGAGGAGCACCAGAAAAAAUGUCAGAGAAAUAAACUAAAUCGAUGGAAGAAAGAUUAUGAUCAUUAUACGGGGACUACUUCAUUUGUCCAGAUUGAGGAUCAAUUUUGUAGGACAACGAACGCUCCCUUUAUCCCGCUGUCAGAACUGCACAGAAGGACGAUGGUUCACUUUAAGAAGGGGCACGAUGACGAUGAGAAUAAGAAACAAAAACUACAAUUGACCAAGAAAAUGCAGGAAGCUCUGGAAAACACAUAUGCUGAGGUUGUUGCACAGAGCCAGGAGCCCCUGACUAGAGAGCAGAAUUAUAAUAUGAGCCAUUUAGUUUGUGAACUUCCCAAAAAGGGGAGGACCAGGUGGAUGGGAGUUGGAACUCAGAGGGUGUGUACCCCAUUCCAGCCUCCGUUGAUUUCAACGCCAUCGACUAUGCCCUCGGGGCCCUCUUACAUGCCGCAGGAGGAUUGCACUCAGCAGGAGAUGCAGCUUGUUUCCUCUGAUGAAUACUUUAGAUGGUCAGAUUCCCGAGGAGAUGUGGGAGGAUAUUCAAGAGGAGCUUAUGCAACUGAUCCACCCUGCUGCUACUUUUGUGAUGGUUUCCAGGCAAAUAAUAAAAUCUUGUAGAAGGCGGGUUCCUACUCAGGUGCAAAGCCAGAUUAUGAACUUUUUGGCCUCUCAAAAGGCAUUUACUGGUAGUGGAGAGAGUAGCAGACAUGUAUACAUAUUAUAUAUGUAAAACAUGAUUCCACACAAUAUUAUGUGAUUCUAAAUUUAAAUUAUUUUGUUGUUAGAGUGGAGAUGAUGCUAUUGGGAGCACGAGUCGUAGGGAUGGAGCCGCCAGUGGCAACGCGGACGAUGACAUGGAUAGGGCGGAUGACCUAUCUUAAUGAGUUAUAUCCUAAACUCGUGUUUGUAUAUUGGACAUCUUUAUAUUGGAGAUAUAUGCUUGUAUGGUUUGUUGUGGAAAUUUUUGUGGAUUUAGAAUGUAUCGUGAAAAUUGAAUGGAUGCCAAAUAUUUGUGAAAUUUGGAUUGUACGUAUUUCGAAUGUUUGUGAAAAUUAUUCGGAUGCGAGAUGUUUGUGAAAUUUGGA